rnacentral:tRNA from 1 species
AAUAAAGUGCCUGAACUUAAAGGAUUAUUUUGAUGGAAUAACACAUGUGAAUUUUCACCUUUAUUA